rnacentral:rRNA from 1 species
UACAGAGGGUGCGAGCGUUAAUCGGAAUUACUGGGCGUAAAGCGCACGUAGGUGGCGACGUAAGUCGGGUGUGAAAGCCCCGGGCUCAACCUGGGAAUUGCAUUCGAGACUGCAUUGCUGGAGUACGGAAGAGGAGGGCGGAAUUCCCGGUGUAGCGGUGGAAUGCGCAGAUAUCAGGAGGAACACCCGUGGUGCAGACGGCUUGCUGGACCUCCACUGACGCUGAGGCACGAAAGCGUGGGGAGCAAACAGG